rnacentral:rRNA from 1 species
GUACCCACGUUCGGACUGUAGUCUGCAACCCGACUACACGAAGCUGGAAUCGCUAGUAAUCGCGAAUCAGAAUGUCGCGGUGAAUACGUUCCCGGGCCUUGUACACACCGCCCGUCACACCAUGAGAGUCGGGAACACCCGAAGUCCGUAGUCUAACCGCAAGGGGACGCGGCCGAAGGUGGGUUCGAUAAUUGGGGUGAAGUCGUAACAAGGUAGC